ACAGUAAAUAACUAUAAAUCGUGUUUUAAGAAUAUCAAGUAGUUUUACGAGGAACCGUCUAAGAGGCCAAUUGACAAACACCAAUGAAAUCUUAAAAUAAAACUGUUUCUCUGGGCAUAGCUGUGCAUUUAGGACAUCUUAUUGUGUCUAUUAUUUUUGAUCUGUCUUGGAAAAUAAUGGAUGUAUUAUAAUUCUACUGUUUGCAUUUUUCCGACAGAGAUUUUCUGUAAAGGAAAGACCUAUAGUAUGUUGUACCAAUUGCAUAAUAUUUUUACAGUGUUAGACAUUUUUUUAUACAUUUUUAGAAUAAAAAUUAAUAUUACAAUC
rnacentral:sRNA from 1 species